GACUCACUCUCGUACGGUCACGGCUAGAGUUCGGAAGUGUCUUAUACUUGUAUAAACGAAAUAAAAAUAAAGUCUUCUCCUUCAUAAUAAAAUUUCUCUUUAUUUUUACGUGACAACUGCUUUGUAGCUUUUGUCGGAUUUGAGCUGUUCGUUCGUGAGUGCCGAGGCGUGCAGACGUGUGUCCAGUGCCCGGCAAAGUCCACAAAGCAGCAGUGACCAUCCAGUUGCUGCUGAGUGCCGAGACGUGCAGACGUGUGUCCAGUGCCCUGUGAAGUUCACAAAACUCCACGUGACGCCCAUCUGUCGAAAGCGAAUCCAACUAACCUAGCCAGGGGUUAACAGCCUCUCGACUAGUUCUUUCACACUGAAUUAACUAGCU
rnacentral:misc_RNA from 1 species